GAAGUAUAAGGCGCGCGGCGGCACGGCUCAAAACCUAGAGAGAAGAAAAAUGUCAGCUUCUCCUCUCCUCCUCCGAUCUAGGGUUUCCGCACGCACCAUCUCUCUCGCCCUUAGACCCUCCAAGAAAUCUAUCCAAUCCGAGGUUUCUCCGCUGAUUCCAAGCUCUCGAUCGCCUAUUUCACCCUCCGAAAGGCGAAUCUCCGUUGUCUUCAGAUUACGAAAGGAUUCGAGUUGUUUGGUUUCAAUGCUGCCGCUGCACAGCGCGAUUGCUUCUGCUCGCCUGAGAUCGGUGCUCUCGCCCGUGUCCCAGCACUGGGGAUGGGUUCCCCAAGGCACCUCGAUGCCUUUAUGACAACACUAUUUUGGUGGUUGGUUGGCUCUCUGGGGACUUGUUGAAUACAAAAUACAGACCUGGACAUGUUGUUGCUUCUCCAUUUAUUUUUGUUCUGAGACCAACACCUAAAAACUGAUGAAGGCUUUCUGGGUAAUCUACAGAAGCAUUUUUGUUUCGGAUAUCUUGAAGGCAAUCCCUGAGCCUUGUUCCUCUCUGACAGUUUCUUUUAAGAAUCAAAUGGAGACUGAUGUGUUCUUGCACCCAGCAGAUGGGGAGAAAAUUUUAAGGUUCCAUGCAAAUUUGAUUAUGCAAUAUCAUGGACCUGUUUGCUUUAUAACAAGCAGAGGCACAUCUAGGAUCACCAUGUUUUUCAGAAACAUGUUUAUAUUCUCUAGGAGCAACAAUUAUCCAAGGGAACCAGGAAUCUUGAUUUGAUGAAAUCACAAAUAAUAAGUCCUACCCUAUCACUCUCUCUUACACAUUUGUUCGUUCCAGUUUUAUCUUUUCAUUUGAACAACGUUAAUGGCAUGUGAAACAAGAGGAAAUGAUGCCAAACAGCAAGGGGAUGCAUUUAUGCGAGUCAUGACCCCUUCUUCAUUUGGGUAGGAAUCACGCCCCUUUUUGGAGAUCUCACAUUGGUGUUUCUUAAACAUAUUGGUCUCUCGUCUUUGGCUCUCA